CAGGCCUAACACAUGCAAGUCGAACGGAUUUCUUUGAGCUUGCUCAAAGAAGUUAGUGGCAAACGGGUGAGUAACACGUGGGAAUCUACCCAUCAGUACGGAAUAACAAUAGGAAACUGUUGCUAAUACCGUAUAUUCUCGUAAGAGGAAAGAUUUAUCGCUGAUGGACGAGCCCGCGUAAGAUUAGGUAGUUGGUGGGGUAAUGGCCUACCAAGCCGACGAUCUUUAGCUGGUCUGAGAGGAUGAUCAGCCACACUGGGACUGAGACACGGCCCAGACUCCUACGGGAGGCAGCAGUGAGGAAUAUUGGACAAUGGGCGAAAGCCUGAUCCAGCAAUACCGCGUGAGUGAUGAAGGCCUUAGGGUUGUAAAGCUCUUUUAGUAGGAAAGAUAAUGACGGUACCUACAGAAAAAGCCCCGGCUAACUCCGUGCCAGCAGCCGCGGUAAU
rnacentral:rRNA from 1 species